AUGUCCCUUUUCUUCAACGUACAGAGAGAACCCAAAACGUCUGCCUCCACCUCGCCAUGGCGCCGCCUGUACCGGCCACCCCUCUUCGAUCUGAGACCACCGUUAGAUGCGCCUCAUCAUCCUCUCCCUCCGUGUGCAAGGAAUCGACCCGAGUCUCCCCGUAUCAGCCACAAAAUCGCCGAUUCCAUCUCCGACCUGCCGGCGAACUUCUUCGAUUGCGGCCGCUCUGGCCCUCCCCUGGCUUCCCCGACUUCUCCAUCAGCUUCACGGUGAUCUCCUCGUUCUCCACGUAUUUUUCCCGGUCUCGUUCCAUCUCUGGUUCGUCCCCCCCGCCGUUGACCACCUCUUUCCGCCGCAGGACCUCAUCGCCGGCGGCUGUCCGGUGAGCCCCUGGCCCCGGAACCACCACCAUCAGUUUCCCCAUGCUGAGGCGCACCCCCGACGCCUACUUCCCCGUCCCGUUUCGCCCAGAAUCGCUGGAUCGAUUCGUCCCUGACCUGCUUCUCCGCCAUGGAUGAACGUGUACAAUUCCUGUGUGUGUGGUCGCUGUGUCUUUUAGCAGUGCUUCACGUCUUUGACAACAACAUCGAUCUAGCACAGUGGCUGGGUCUAUCGUCCUCAACUAGAUUGACCAAGAGCAGGUGGUCUGUCCUAGGGACAUUAAUCCCUGAGGUGCUGGGCUCAAUUCCUGUCCAGAACAUAUUUCUUUUUACCUCAUCCGAACCUCAGAUGGGCCUCAGCCCACCAGUUUGCAAGUCAGCUCCGGCGGCCGCAGCAUUUGCUUCUUCCCGGAUAGGAUCGCGAAGUGUUGACGUGAGAUA